rnacentral:rRNA from 1 species
GUGGGGAAUAUUGGACAAUGGGCGCAAGCCUGAUCCAGCCAUGCCGCGUGAAUGAUGAAGGCCUUAGGGUUGUAAAGUUCUUUCGCCAGGGACGAUAAUGACGGUACCUGGAUAAGAAGCCCCGGCUAACUUCGUGCCAGCAGCCGCGGUAAUACGAAGGGGGCUAGCGUUGUUCGGAUUUACUGGGCGUAAAGCGCACGUAGGCGGAUCUUUAAGUCAGGGGUGAAAUCCCGAGGCUCAACCUCGGAACUGCCCUUGAUACUGGAGAUCUUGAGUUCGGGAGAGGUGAGUGGAACUGCGAGUGUAGAGGUGAAAUUCGUAGAUAUUCGCAAGAACACCAGUGGCGAAGGCGGCUCACUGGCCCGAUACUGACGCUGAGGUGCGAAAGCGUGGGGAGCAAACAGGAUUAGAAACCCCUGUAGUCC